CCCAAACCACCAAUUCUGAACACAAAUUCACCAAAAUCUCGGUUUCGCUCUUCCUUCCCCGUAUUUAUCUGUACCCCUUUUUUAUUUUAUCAAUAUAUUUUACUGAAUUGAAGUACCCAAGUGAAACAGGUCAAUGUUGCAUGCAAUCUCUGUUCCAAUUUCCAAAUACUUGCAUUUCGUAUCCAAGAAGCCGGUGUUUUGGUCCAAGGAAUCAAGGAUCAAGAAGACUUUGUUUGCGUGCUUCGUUGCCAGAUAAUAAUGGUGGAUUUAAAGUGGACUAUACACCAUGGUUGAUUGUUGGGUUGGGUAAUCCAGGAAUUAAGUACCAUGGAACCCGGCACAACGUUGGUUUCGAAAUGAUUGAUCAAAUUUCUCGUUCGGAAGGAUUAUGUUGAAUACUAAGCAAUCAAAAGCUCUGAUUGGAAUAGGUAUACAUUUUGUUUUUGCGUUGCUUAACUCUUUUAUUUGUUUAUUUAGCUUUGUCUGGGAUUCAAUCUUUGUCUUUUGAGAUUUGUGGUUAUGCUUGAUGGUUUACUUGGAUUUCUUUCAUGAUCAGUACAGGUGCAUUGUAGAAGUACCCAAUUUUGUUCGCAAAACCUCAGGCAUACAUGAAUUUCAGUGGGGAAUCGAUUAGUCGUACAUUUUGUUUUUCCCUUUUCUCAUGGUUAUGCAUUCACAUGUCCUUUUGCAGAAUCUCAUCACGUUUUGGUUCAACAAUUCCUUUUUUCUUUGGAGAUACUUGAGAAAUUUGUCAGUUUCAGGACUCAGGACAGUCAACUUGAGUUCUAUAAAUUAAGCGUAGGACUGAUCUACUGAAACUUCUUGCCUCUGAGCUGUUCACCUAAACAUUCGUGUAAAAUUCCAUGCAUGUUUGAAUUGGGAAUAGACAUUGAUAAAUUGUAGUGGUUUAUAUGAGGGUCAAUAAAGAAUGUGUAUGGAAUGUGUGCCCCUUCCUCUUGUAUAUAU